UUUCUGCAUGCGCAAAUAUUUUAGUCACGGAACAUUGAUUUUCUUAACCAAUUUCGCACAUCAAUAUUUCAUUGGAUCUACUUUAGAAUUCAAGGUACCAGUACUUGGCAGUACCAGUGGCGCAACUAGAUCUAAGUGGGGAGAAAUGGGCCAUAAGAGGACCGUUUCUCCCCAUUCAUUUGAUUUAUGAUUGGCAGUAAAUUUCUAUAGCCACUAUAGGCAUGAUAUGCUUUUAUAGUAAUAAUGCCUCGAGUUUAUAAAAGGAAAAAGUUCUGACAAAGGCAAAGUGCCAGAGUCAGUUAUGAGGGAUGCUGUAACUGCUUCACCUGAAAUAUUUGCAGGCUAUCCAAAAGCUGCUCCUCGCUAGCAAACCAACUUAGGAAAAAAAAGGAAAAUGUAUGAUCGUGACAUCAUCACCAAUGAUAGAAAAAAUAAAAUUAAAGCAUUGCGUUAAAUCUGGGGAUAAAUCUAAUUUAGAAAAGAAUCUAUUAGAUACCGGUAGUGACAUAACUGAUGAUAGGACAGAUAGUAGUGACAGUACCGGUAGUGAUGAAAGUAUUGAUGUCAGAAUGGAUAGUGUCGAAAGUAUGAAAGUUAACAACUAUGUUGUAAAAUGUUGUUUGUAAAAUGUUUGACAUGUUUCAGAUGUUCCUUCAGAGUUAAAGAUAUUUACUUCCUAGUCCCUACCACCCGAUGGAUGACGGGGAUGGCAGUGGUCAGGGUUUGAACCCAGGACCAUCAUUAAGUCUGAAUGACAGUCCAGCGUGCAAACCGCACUACCAGGCAGCCAUUCAAUGUCUUGUGUGAGUUUGAGGUUGGAAAGAAAACAAAAUAUUUAGUUGGUAAGGUUAUGAAAGAAGAAGAUGAGUAUUGUGAUAUAGAAGGUUUUUUUUGCGAAAGAGUGGGAAAAUGGGUGACAGUAGAAGACAUUGGACAGAA
rnacentral:sRNA from 1 species